rnacentral:tRNA from 1 species
GCUCUUGUAACUCAGUGGUAGAGUGGGCGAUUGCAGUAACACUCUGAUAGGAGUCGUUAUGGAAAAGUACGUUAUCGCCAAGUCGCUUGUUCGAACCAGGCCGGGAGCU